rnacentral:rRNA from 1 species
AAAACAUCGCCUCUUGCAAAGUAAUGAAUAAGAGGUCCCGCCUGCCCUGUGACUCUAAGUUUAACGGCCGCGGUAUUUUGACCGUGCGAAGGUAGCGCAAUCACUUGUCUUUUAAAUGGAGACCUGUAUGAAUGGCAUAACGAGGGCUUAGCUGUCUCCUUUCUCUAGUCAAUGAAAUUGAUCUUCCCGUGCAGAAGCGGGGAUAGAACCAUAAGACGAGAAGACCCUAUGGAGCUUUAGACGCCAAGACAGACCAUGUUAAACACCUCCCCAUAAGGAGCCCAAACCAAAUGGUCCCUGCCCUAGUGUCUUUGGUUGGGGCGACCGCGGGGAAACAUAAAACCCCCAUGUGGAAUGGGAGCACCCUCUCCUACAACUAAGAGCUACAGCUCUAAUGAACAGAAUUUCUGACCAACAAGAUCCGGCAAUGCCGAUCAACGGACCGAGUUACCCUAGGGAUAACAGCGCAAUCCCCUUUUAGAGCCCAUAUCGACAAGGGGGUUUACGACCUCGAUGUUGGAUCAGGACAUCCUAAUGGUGCAGCCGCUAUUAAGGGUUCGUUUGUUCAACGAUUAAAGUCCUACGUG